AGCACCUCUGUAAAAGCGGAACAAUGGCAAGACAUAGACAUUGAGCUUCUUGCAGAUCUCUGUCUGUUCAUUAUAAUUAACCAUGAGAAAUUGCAGUCCUGGAUGCAUCCUGGCAAAUUGAUGAACCUUUGUGGACAUGACAAAAAAAAAGGCCCUUGCAAGCUCCACAACUAGGUGAAAAGAAGUGCACCACUGUGAACUUAUCUCCAGCAAUUAAUAGCUGUUUAUCAAAAUCUUCUUGUGAUUUGAUAUUCUUCAUGUUGUCGUUCAUUUCCUUCUCCCACCACUUUGUGUGAAUACCCUAAUACCACAACUGAAUAUCAUUUCCAUCUUUGUAGUGCUUCAGCAUGUGUUUGAAUGAAUGUUUGAGUUGUGUUGUUUUUUAACGAAACUGUUUUUAUUCUAUCUGGAUUACCUUUAUGGGAACUUGUGUGUUUUGUGAUUAAGAUAUGUCCAAGCAUUAGAGGUAGUUUCUGAUUACUAUAGAAAUUACCUUUUUGGGAUCUUUUGGUACAGCUCUAGUGAUCUGCCAACCAGUUGAGGCAACCUUUUCUGUGGGCAAGAAUUGCUUCCCCUUGAUCCCAUUAUAGUUCCGAGUCAAUAUCUUGAAGCAACCAUCAGAUCGGUUGCUUGCAUAUCCAUGAUGAGAUGAACGACCAACAACCCAAUGGUUCAUCAAAGCUGAAGCCAUCAGCGCCCUUGAACUGAAAACAGAACGGAGUAUGUAACAAGUCAGCACCUCCAUGACUCCUGAAUGCUAAAGAAAAGGGUGUAUUUCAAAGCACAACAUGCCUCAAACUAACUGGACAAGUUCUACAAGAGAUGGAAAUCAUGUAGUGGUGAAAUGGGGAUGGCCUAGGAUGAGGUAUUUAUAGCUGAAGGAAAUUUUGUUUCAGAAGCAAAGAAUACCUCAUCCUAGCAACACAAACCCCUUUUCGAACUUUUCAGUUUAAUGCAUGUUUAUCGCUCAAAAAAGUGGUUCUGUUGCUUAUCCAAAUGCACAUAGGUACAGUCAGAAGUUUUGUUUCUUGUGGUCAUGUUUGGAUUUGUUAGGUGCUUUCUUUCUUCUAUUACUUAUUUCCAUGCUUUAGCUUUGGUGUUUCUUACACUCCAUUAUGACUUUUAUCUGAGGCGGCACGGCUUAUGCUCCAGGAUAGAGGAAGCUGAUGUGUAUUUGCAUAAAAAGUUGGCAUUUUGUGACCUUUGUUAUAUCUAUAUCUACUUUACUGGAAGGUAUGAUUGGAUUUCUUGCUGAAA